CCUACGGGUGGCAGCAGUGAGGAAUAUUGGUCAAUGGGCGGGAGCCUGAACCAGCCAAGUAGCGUGCAGGAUGACUGCCCUACGGGUUGUAAACUUCUUUUAUACGGGAAUAACACGCGUCACGUGUGGAUCUUUGCAUGUACCGUAUGAAUAAGGACCGGCUAAUUCCGUGCCAGCAGCCGCGGUAAUACGGAGGGUCCGAGCGUUAUCCGGAUUUAUUGGGUUUAAAGGGAGCGUAGGUGGGUUGUCAAGUCCGCUGUGAAAUUUCGCGGCUCAACCGGGGCAUUGCAGUUGGAACUGGCAGGCUUGAGUUCACUGGAGGCAGGCGGAAUUCGUGGUGUAGCGGUGAAAUGCUUAGAUAUCACGAAGAACCCCGAUUGCGAAGGCAGCGUGCUGAAGUGGGACUGACGCUGAUGCUCGAAAGUGCGGGUAUCAAACAGGAUUAGAUACCCCUGUAGUC
rnacentral:rRNA from 1 species